GCCAGUCGGAUCCUUCUGGUUCUACAAGUCCGCUUCAGUCCAGCUGCUUACAGCUCCUCUGUCUCCUGGUGGAUUAGGAACCCAGAAACCUGCUUGACUCCUCUGCUCCCUUGUCACAGAGAAGACCCUCAAAGGGCUGGCAUGCCCUUUUCUAAGAGGCUCUAACCUCUGACUGGAGUUCCUGAAAUAAUUGUCCACUAUGAAGCUCUGUUGAUCAAGUAUCAAAUAUUCGCCAGCCCGUGAACAUAUCAUGGAAUAUCACUGCCCUCUGAGAGACAAGACAACGUCUCUGAUUUGGGGGAAAUUGCAGAAUGGAGCAAACCUGGAAUUGGAGCCAGGCAAUUGCAAAAAUGAUUCCAGAUCUGCAUGGUAACAAUUUAGACUAACUUCCACUCCUGCUGAAAGCUGAGCUGCAGAGGAAGUUCUUCCCUUGGCCAGCUGCCUGCUUGCCUCCCCCACCCCGCAGACCUUCAGGCCGCUCCCUCCCCACAUCUGUUUCCAAGCCAUGGAGCAUAGGGUCACAGCAUGUCGCAAUAAGCAGUGUUAGCAGGCAGCAUGAACCAGUAGUAAACCUUUGAUUUUAAUUCCUUGCUUCUUCAAGAGAGGAAGUGUGGUCUGGUGGUUAACCCACUUUAAAAAAAAAAAGCAGCUAGGAGGCAAAAUUCUUGGUCCCCAGCAAGUCUCUUCUAUUCUCAUUGGGGUACCCAGCCAUCAAAGAUGCCUUUUGUUCCUCAGUGUUGCUUUAUGAUCUUAAUCCCCAACCAGCCUCACCAGAAGACUCAUUUUGGGAAACUGAUUAAGGGAUUCUUUUUUAAGAGUCCGCAUCCAAGAACCUUACCAGGAAAGGCCUAGGAUGCUCUAGUUUUAACAAGUACUAGGCAUGCAUCUUUAGGAUCAGUUUUGGCUCAGCUAAUAGUUCACACAAACUGGAAGUGUGUUGCCAGACACAAUAGGAAGAUGUCUGAGCAGAAACCAGCAAAUCUACCUCGGAUUGCCUUUUACAAGCUCAGGUGGAAACCGCAGUGGAAUAUGGGGAAAGGAGAGACCGCUUCUAGUAGGCCUCCCAGCUGAGCGAGCCUGGGUAGGUCAGAGGAACUGUUCUGGCUGCAUUUUUAUCAUUUUAAAAAUAAAAGUGACUAGAUCAUCUCUUUCGGUUCUGUGAGUCAAUGAAUUAUUUCUGUGAGUUCACAGAAAUGCCAGGAUCGA
rnacentral:sRNA from 1 species